UACGGGGGGAGCAAGCGUUGUUCGGAUUUACUGGGCGUAAAGGGCGCGUAGGCGGUCAGCACAAGUCAGUUGUGAAAUCUCCGGGCUUAACUCGGAAAGGUCAACUGAUACUGUGCGACUAGAGUGCAGAAGGGGCAACUGGAAUUCUCGGUGUAGCGGUGAAAUGCGUAGAUAUCCGGAGGAACACCGGUGGCGAAGGCGGCACUCUGGGCCGGAACUGACGCUGAGGAGCGAAAGCGUGGGGAGCGAACAGG
rnacentral:rRNA from 1 species